UACGUAUGGUGCAAGCGUUAUCCGGAUUUACUGGGUGUAAAGGGAGCGUAGGUGGCUUGUCAAGCCAGAAGUGAAAACCCGGGGCUCAACUCCGCGGAUUGCUUUUGGAACUGAUGGGCUGGAGUGCAGGAGGGGUAAGCGGAAUUCCCAGUGUAGCGGUGAAAUGCGUAGAUAUUGGGAAGAACACCGGAGGCGAAGGCGGCUUACUGGACUGUAACUGACACUGAGGCUCGAAGGCGUGGGGAGCAAA
rnacentral:rRNA from 1 species